AUUAAUCGUCCUUAUAUGUACUCGGGAACGUUCGUCCUUUAGGUUUUCUCCUGGCGCAUGGGCGCCGCCAAUCAUUUCGGGGCUUAUUUUGGUUCUAAAGCCCGGGGCAGCCAGGCCUCCCUGCCUGGCCUCGGCGGGGACGCGGGACCUGGGGCCCCGGACCGGGCCUAACCGCCCUGGCCGGUCCCCACUGAUGGUGGCGGUCGGUCCUGAUCGUCCUGAUGGCAGCGACCAGGCUGGACUCGGGCUGUGCAGGGGCGAGGGGAGCAGGGCGGGGUGACGCCCGGAGAGCGGCCUGGAGAGCGCGUGCUUCAGAAGGCGUGGGCACCCUGUCCCCUUUGCAGAUGGGGAUGCAGGCCCUGGUGGCGGUGGAGGGGAGAUGGGGGCAGGGACGUUGCCGGGCAGAGGAAGCUGGCCAUUCCUGGGGGAUUCCUGGGAGCCAUGUGGGAGAGGCGUGAGGAAGUGAGACCUUCACCCCGAGACAGGUCCUGACACACCCUCUGGUGCCUCUACUCAAGUGAGAAGUUUGGCUGCUGUAACUGACUGGGAAGCUUAAAAUAACAGACAAUCAUCUCUCACAUUUAUGGGGACUGGGAAGUCCAAGACCAAGUUGCCAUCUGGGGAGGGCCUGUUCCUCACAGCGCCUUCCAGCUCAGGCCUCGUUUAUAAGGGCACUCAAGCCUUCCACGACAACGGGUCCUCAUGACUUACUCACCUCGGAAAGCCCCACCCCCAAGACCAUCACAUUGUGGGUGAUGGCAGAGCAUAAGGUGCCUUCCCCACAUGCUCGGGUUGGCCCAGCGUCUCACGCUAGCAGCUACGUGGAAUAGUUAUUUUUUCUGGAGAACUCUGGGACCCCUCUGAUGUCUUGGAGCACCCACACAGGCCGUUCACUGUGCACGCUGUGAGGCUGUCGUCUUGGAGCACCCACACAGGCCGUUCACUGUGCACGUGGUGAGGCUGUCCUCUGGGGAGUUCUGCUGUUGUAUGGGUUCUGUCUGUGUCAAUGUCCCAGCGGGAACGCAGGGCACACUAGCGUCAUCCCCAGAGGGCUUGGUAAGGGGACUGUUUGCAGAGACAUAGGCAGAGGGCUGGAAAACUACCAAAAAAGUGCAGUGUUCUGGACCUAAUAAUAGCAGAGCUAUUCUCACCCUGGUCUGAAGGCAGGAGGGGAGGAGCAGUUAAUGGAUUCUGGAAGUCAGGUUGCACAGAGUCACCUUGAAAGAUGCCAUGACCUUCACCGAGGGCCAGACAGAGACUAAGAUGACCCCAUAGGAGAAUAAGACCUAGACCUCAUCCUCCUGCCUCCUGCCAGUCCCUGCCAGGGGUCGCCAAUGGCAAAACAGGACUGGAAGCCAGAGGCCAUGGAAGCCCAUGGAUGAAGUCCACAGGCCAGCCUCCCCGAGAGCAGCCUGGACGGUCCGCAGGAGACGUCUCCUGUCUUAGGCGUCCCACGCCGCGUGCUCCUGUUCAGCCCUGCCGAGGUGGAAGCUUGGAGUGGCUCACGGUGGAUGCAUUGACGCUGCAGACGCCAGCAAGUGCUACAAACCAGAGCUGGCCUUUAACUCAGACUGAUGGAGAAGGUGUUAAUAAUGCAGAUUAGACUUAAAAGUGUUGAAGCCAUUGCACUGUGAACAGCAAAAAAAUUGAAGAACUCUUCUGGCAUUUAAAAACAAUUACUCAGUUCAGCAGAGAAGUCACUGACAAACGAGAUCACACUGACUGCUUUGUCGUUUUGGUUUUGUCUUACUCAUUAAUGCAAAUAAGAACAUUCACUAGCAUCUGUGUCGGGCCUACCCUCCCUGGUCAAAUACAGCUACAGUCUCCCUGCAGAAACGAGUUUUCCAGAAAUGAGCCGAUGUUUUCUGCGAGAAUCAAUUGGUCAUAUACAAUUUACAAAAAUGAGUACUGUAUACUAUAUUUGUAAACUGUACACUGCAGAUGCUUUAUUUCACUGAAAUUUAUAAUACACUUAUCCAUGUAUAUGCAUGCAUGCAUUUUUGUUCCUGAGAUCCAGCUGUGAAAUGUUUACCAGCACAUAAAUUACCAGCACAUGCUCUUUUUUGUUAACCUACUAGGUAAAAUCUUCAUUUAUUACAUCAAAUUCUUGUAGUUUUUGUAUUGCAAUUAUGCAGAUAUUGAUUAUCGCAGUAUUACUGCAAUUAUACAGAUACCACAAUUUCAGAUAUUGAUCAGCGUGUUCAGUUGGUUUCUAAGGAGGUUUACUUACCUCAUGGUACACCUAGUUUGCAUAGUUUGAUUAUAUUUAACUCUUAUGCUAAUUGGGGGAAGUCAUUGAUUUAUUGGACAGAUGCACCUGUGGUCUUCCCUGAGCACAUCCUGGCCAAGGAUGCUGCCCCCAGGAGAUUUGAGAAGUCCUGUAAGGAUCAUAUCAGUAUUUUCAAAUACUUAUAGAAAAGCCAGAGGGAUUGACCCAGAAUUACCAAUAUAAGCUUGACCCUGAGAUAACAAUGCCAUUUUAUGUUUGCAUGCAUAAAACCAAUGCAAGAGGCUGAUGACUCCAGAUCCCUUAUAUAAGCCAAUAAAAAGUAGUUUCAUUUUUUAUUUCAUUUAAAAAAAAAAAAAAAAA
rnacentral:lncRNA from 1 species